rnacentral:piRNA from 1 species
UGCAAAACAACGUCAACGACAAUGUCGUGC